rnacentral:rRNA from 1 species
CAGAGCCGGAAACUUGGUCAAACUUGGUCAUUUAGAGGAAGUAAAAGUCGUAACAAGGUU